UGGGGAAUCUUGCGCAAUGGGCGAAAGCCUGACGCAGCGACGCCGCGUGUGGGAUGACGGCCUUCGGGUUGUAAACCACUGUCGGGAGGGACGAAGCUCUGACGGUACCUCCAGAGGAAGCACCGGCUAACUCUGUGCCAGCAGCCGCGGUAAUACAGAGGGUGCGAGCGUUGUCCGGAAUCACUGGGCGUAAAGGGCGCGUAGGCGGCCUGAUAAGUAGGGGGUGAAAUCCUGCGGCUUAACUGCAGGGCUGCCUCCUAGACUGUCGGGCUCGAGCACGGUAGAGGCAGAUGGAAUUCCCGGUGUAGCGGUGGAAUGCGUAGAGAUCGGGAAGAACAUCGGUGGCGAAGGCGGUCUGCUGGGCCGUUGCUGACGCUGAGGCGCGACAGCGUGGGGAGCAAACAGG
rnacentral:rRNA from 1 species